rnacentral:rRNA from 1 species
UACGGGGGGAGCAAGCGUUGUUCGGAUUUACUGGGCGUAAAGGGCGCGUAGGCGGCGUGACAAGUCACUUGUGAAAUCUCCGGGCUUAACUCGGAACGGUCAAGUGAUACUGUCGUGCUAGAGUGCGGAAGGGGCAACUGGAAUUCUUGGUGUAGCGGUGAAAUGCGUAGAUAUCAAGAGGAACACCUGCGGCGAAGGCGGGUUGCUGGGCCGACACUGACGCUGAGGCGCGAAAGCUAGGGGAGCGAACAGG